CACCUGUUAAAGGCCUCUUAUGGAUUUUUCCCAAAGCAUUUUCACUCUUCAAUCACGGCCCUACUUCAUCAAGAGGCUUCAGCGGGCGAGCGGUCGGUAAUUACACACGCCGCUUCCACACGCUGAUUUCCCCGGAGGUAGGACGGGUGCGCUGGUGGCAUCGGCGCUUUCGACGGAUGAAGUGAACCUCUGCCCACCUGCUGAGGGUUCCAGCCUCUCAGAGGUCGUCUUCAGCGAGCUCCACGGCGAUCAAAUUCAUCGGAAUUUGAUUGACAAUCAGAUGCAGGUCAAAGGAUUAGCAGCCGUGCGUGACUGAUGGGGAGGAGAUACGCCAUCAGAAUAUGUUAAAAGCCUCAACCUCUUCGUCUUCCUCCUCGUCGUCUUCUCCCUGAAGUGGCCAGGAAGUCAUUGAUGACUACAUUUUCUUUGACAUUUACAAGGUGACGGGGAGGGUCUCUGAUAUAAGUCGUAAACCUCUCAGCCGUUGCACUGAGACGUGAUGGAUGGCGUUGGGCGUGAAGAGCAGUGAUGGCCGUGGCGUUGGAGGCCUUGGCGGCCUUGGCGUGGGUGUCCCACCAGGGUUCAGAGGUUCAACUCUGCCCUUCUGUGGUGCUUGUCUCAGCUUUCAACAAAGGCGCAACUCCCACCCGACUCUCUUCAACGCAACACAGGUGCACUAAUGGACCACUGGGGGCAAUACUGUACUGACAAGACACUUCAUUAGGUACACCUAUUGCGUGUACACUGUUCAUCCAUCCAUCCAUCUACAGUAUUCACUUUACCCGGCUGUGAAAAGAUCAUUAUAAUUGACACUGUUAGUGUUGUGGUACUGGUAAACACCAACAUUUUCAUGACAGUCAGAGUUUUAAUUAAAUUUGUACAUAAUUAGAAAUAUAGUAUUAUAAUGACUGUCACGACAACUGAUGGGUAAUACUAAGAACUGUCUCUUAAUAUUUUAAAGGCCUUGUUUAAAUGUAAGGGGGUCAACAUAGCAUUAUUAUUAUUAUUAUUAUUAUUAUUGUUUAUUUUCUUUGUGAAGGAAGGCAUUUAAAUAUUUAUGAAAUUUUACAUUUAUGUAAACAGAUAUGGGAUAUUUGCAACAUAUUUCUUACAUGAUUUAUAAUUACAUUUAAUUUUAUUAAUUUCAUAU